AGCGUUAAUCGGAAUUACUGGGCGUAAAGCGUGCGCAGGCGGUUAUGCAAGGCAGAUGUGAAAUCCCCGGGCUUAACCUGGGAAUGGCAUUGGUGACUGCACGGCUAGAGUGUGUCAGAGGGGGGUAGAAUUCCACGUGUAGCAGUGAAAUGCGUAGAGAUGUGGAGGAAUACCGAUGGCGAAGGCAGCCCCCUGGGAUAACACUGACGCUCAUGCACGAAAGCGUGGGGAGCAAACAGG
rnacentral:rRNA from 1 species